rnacentral:rRNA from 1 species
UACGAGGGGGGCAAGCGUUGUUCGGAAUUAUUGGGCGUAAAGGGUGCGUAGGCGGUCUGAUAAGUCAUCUGUGAAAUCUAUGGGCUCAACCCAUAGUCUGCAGGCGAAACUGUCGGGCUUGAGCAUGGGAGAGGUGAGUGGAAUUCCUGGUGUAGCGGUGAAAUGCGCAGAUAUCAGGAGGAACACCAAUAGCGAAGGCAGCUCGCUGGGACGUUACUGACGCUGAGGCGCGAAAGCGUGGGGAGCGAACAGG